rnacentral:tRNA from 1 species
AAAUCCGUCGACUUUAGAAAUCGUGAGGGUUAAGUCCCUCUAUCCCCA